GCCACUUCCGGGCCGGCCCGGAUCCGCCGCCGGGUUUUGCAGAUAGCCGCUGUCGCCCCCGCCUGCGACGGGCGUUGGGCUCUCUCUCUGGCCGAGGGGUGCGUUUCGGGCCGGUCUGGAAAGCACGACGAGGGCCCCAGGUUUUACGGGGACCCCCCUCUUCGGCCCAACAUACAACUUUCUUUGCCCUCAAAAGCUCCACCGAUAACGCCUCCUAACUGGUUUGAUCCACGUAGGAUGCGAAAGGCGACCACGGUUCCGAGCACCAUUUCCUUGGGGCUGUAACAGGCUAGAAAGCCAAGGCACAACUUUACUGAGCCCUUGCUGAGGGCCCAGAAGUGUAUGAACUGCUAAAACAAAAACAGCGGUACACAGUCCAACGAGAAAUAAAAACCACAGUCUGCGUAGACAAAGUGCCCCAGUGGAACGGUGGGAGGAGAUGAGCCUCUGAUGGGAAGUCUCAGGAAGGGGUCCGCCUAGGGGCGGCCGAGGAUGCUUGAGAAGCACGGAAGAGCAGGCGGCAUCGCCAAGACGGGACGCUUGUCAACAAAGCUGUAUCUAAGCAAAUGUUUGAAGAGGCAGACGGGGGCACGAACUCGUGGAGUUUAGAGGAAGAGGCGAAAAAACUUUAUUCAGCUCACCUGGGGGAGAAAGAUACUUGAUCUAGAAUAUUCUCAAUAAAGAGGUUUGAAGGACUAACAAUUCAGGCUUUGCCAGAGCAGACACAAGUAUCGUUUAAGGACCCCAAAACCUUUCACUUGGCGCAUCAUUCAACUGUUUAUCUGGUUUCGCAAGAAAAGGAGAGGCGGGUGGAAAAAAAUAUUGUUUUACUAUGUGUUGAGCACUGUAAGCACACGCUUGUAUCUUUUUUUACUACUCUCACCUUGUUUACAAUUUCACGGCAGAAAUUAUUCCCGUUUUACGGAUAAAAUAACUGAGGAUCAGAAAUAACUCACUCAUCCAAGGGUUACUGGAGUUUGAACACUGGGAAAGCAGAUCCCCUCACUUCAAAUUAGCACUACCUUGGCAAUCUUAUUCACGUAUUUAACACACAAAACCUGCGUGGGAUACAACCAAGGGCAAAGAAUUUCAGAAAACAGAUCAGCGUAACCACAGAGUUCAAAAUUGCCUUAGGCCAAGAGUUAAGAAACAGAAGUGAAAGAUUAAGCAUCUUUCCUUACGCUGGAAACUGAUUGCUGUGCUCACCUGUGACCGCCCAGCUCGAGACAUAGACUUUGCCUCCUGCUACGCCCAUCAAGAUAGCAGACCCACUACCUGCCGUGUCCAUCAGGUGCUGUGCCGACAGGGCAAUCUUGUGACUAUUGUGGGAGGGACAUUUCAAUCAUAUGUGAAACACCCUGUUU
rnacentral:lncRNA from 1 species